rnacentral:rRNA from 1 species
ACGCUCGACACCUAGGAGGCAGCAGUGGGGAAUAUUGCACAAUGGGGGAAACCCGUGAUGCAGCGACGCCGCGUGAAGGAUGAAGUAUUUCGGUAUGUAAACUUCUAUCAGCAGGGAAGAAAGUGACGGUACCUGACUAAGAAGCCCCGGCUAACUACGUGCCAGAAGCCGCGGUAAUCUGAGCGGGCUGGCAAGGC